UUGAAGCAUGAUCGUAAGGACAUGUGGAGCGCUUAGAAGUGAGAAUGCCGGUGUGAGUAGCGAAAGACGGGUGAGAAUCCCGUCCACCGAUUGACUAAGGUUUCCAGAGGAAGGCUCGUCCGCUCUGGGUUAGUCGGGUCCUAAGCUGAGGCCGACAGGCGUAGGCGAUGGAUAACAGGUUGAUAUUCCUGUACCACCUAUAAUCGUUUUAAUCGAUGGGGGGACGCAGUAGGAUAGGCGAAGCGUGCGAUUGGAUUGCACGUCUAAGCAGUAAGGCUGAGUAUUAGGCAAAUCCGGUACUCGUUAAGGCUGAGCUGUGAUGGGGAGAAGACAUUGUGUCUUCGAGUCGUUGAUUUCACACUGCCGAGAAAAGCCUCUAGAUAGAAAAUAGGUGCCCGUACCGCAAACCGACACAGGUAGUCAAGAUGAGAAUUCUAAGGUGAGCGAGCGAACUCUCGUUAAGGAACUCGGCAAAAUGACCCCGUAACUUCGGGAGAAGGGGUGCUCUUUAGGGUUAACGCCCAGAAGAGCCGCAGUGAAUAGGCCCAAGCGACUGUUUAUCAAAAACACAGGUCUCUGCUAAACCGUAAGGUGAUGUAUAGGGGCUGACGCCUGCCCGGUGCUGGAAGGUUAAGAGGAGUGGUUAGCUUCUGCGAAGCUACGAAUCGAAGCCCCAGUAAACGGCGGCCGUAACUAUAACGGUCCUAAGGUAGCGAAAUUCCUUGUCGGGUAAGUUCCGACCCGCACGAAAGGCGUAACGAUUUGGGCACUGUCUCAACGAGAGACUCGGUGAAAUCAUAGUACCUGUGAAGAUGCAGGUUACCCGCGACAGGACGGAAAGACCCCGUGGAGCUUUACUGUAGCCUGAUAUUGAAAUUCGGCACAGCUUGUACAGGAUAGGUAGGAGCCUUUGAAACGUGAGCGCUAGCUUACGUGGAGGCGCUGGUGGGAUACUACCCUAGCUGUGUUGGCUUUCUAACCCGCACCACUUAUCGUGGUGGGAGACAGUGUCAGGCGGGCAGUUUGACUGGGGCGGUCGCCUCCUAAAAGGUAACGGAGGCGCUCAAAGGUUCCCUCAGAAUGGUUGGAAAUCAUUCAUAGAGUGUAAAGGCAUAAGGGAGCUUGACUGCGAGACCUACAAGUCGAGCAGGGUCGAAAGACGGACUUAGUGAUCCGGUGGUUCCGCAUGGAAGGGCCAUCGCUCAACGGAUAAAAGCUACCCCGGGGAUAACAGGCUUAUCUCCCCCAAGAGUUCACAUCGACGGGGAGGUUUGGCACCUCGAUGUCGGCUCAUCGCAUCCUGGGGCUGUAGUCGGUCCCAAGGGUUGGGCUGUUCGCCCAUUAAAGCGGUACGCGAGCUGGGUUCAGAACGUCGUGAGACAGUUCGGUCCCUAUCCGUCGUGGGCGUAGGAAAUUUGAGAGGAGCUGUCCUUAGUACGAGAGGACCGGGAUGGACAUACCUCUGGUGUACCAGUUGUCGUGCCAACGGCAUAGCUGGGUAGCUAUGUGUGGACGGGAUAAGUGCUGAAAGCAUCUAAGCAUGAAGCCCCCCUCAAGAUGAGAUUUCCCAACUUCGGUUAUAAGAUCCCUCAAAGAUGAUGAGGUUAAUAGGUUCGAGGUGGAAGCAUGGUGACAUGUGGAGCUGACGAAUACUAAUCGAUCGAAGACUUAAUCAA
rnacentral:rRNA from 1 species